rnacentral:piRNA from 1 species
UGCAUGUGUGAAGAGCUUGCAUCACAGGGA